rnacentral:siRNA from 1 species
UCUAAAGAUUGGUGGAAUGAU